rnacentral:rRNA from 1 species
GAUGAACGCUGGCGGCGUGCCUAAUACAUGCAAGUAGAACGCUGAAGGAGGAGCUUGCUCUUCUGGAUGAGUUGCGAACGGGUGAGUAACGCGUAGGUAACCUGCCUGGUAGCGGGGGAUAACUAUUGGAAACGAUAGCUAAUACCGCAUGACAACAGUUAUUGCAUGAUAACUGUUUAAAAGGGGCAACUGCUCCACUACCAGAUGGACCUGCGUUGUAUUAGCUAGUUGGUGAGGUAACGGCUCACCAAGGCGACGAUACAUAGCCGACCUGAGAGGGUGAUCGGCCACACUGGGACUGAGACACGGCCCAGACUCCUACGGGAGGCAGCAGUAGGGAAUCUUCGGCAAUGGACGGAAGUCUGACCGAGCAACGCCGCGUGAGUGAAGAAAGUUGUCGGAUCGUAAAGCUCUGUUGUAAGAGAAGAACGAGUGUGAGAGUGGAAAGUUCACACUGUGACGGUAUCUUACCAGAAAGGGACGGCUAACUACGUG